CGAGACUGCCGGUAAUAAACCGGAGGAAGUGGGAUGACGUCAAUCAUCAUGCCCCUUAUGACCUGGGCUACACACGUGCUACAAUGGUUGGUACAACGAGUUGCGAGUCCGGUGACGGGCGAGCUAAUCUCUUAAAGCCAAUCUCAGUUCGGAUUGUAGGCUGCAACUCGCCUACAUGAAGUCGGAAUCGCUAGUAAUCGCGGAUCAGCACGCCGCGGUCGAAUACGUUCCCGGGCCUU
rnacentral:rRNA from 1 species